rnacentral:tRNA from 1 species
UAAGAAGUAGUAUAAAGGAAGUACUUAGAUUUUUGAUUUCUAGGGUAUAGGUUCAAUUCCUAUCUUUUUAG